rnacentral:rRNA from 1 species
GAUGAACGCUAGCGGCAGGCUUAAUACAUGCAAGUCGAGGGGCAGCAUGUUCCGUAGCAAUACGGGAUGAUGGCGACCGGCAAACGGGUGCGGAACACGUACGCAACCUACCCAAAACUGAUGAAUAGCCCUCCGAAAGGAGGAUUAAUACAUCGUAACUUAAUGAAGUGGCAUCACUUUAUUAAUAUAGCUCCGGCGGUUUUGGAUGGGCGUGCGCCUGAUUAGGUAGNGGCGGGGUAACGGCCCACCAAGCCUGCGAUCAGUAACUGGUGUGAGAGCACGACCAGUCACACGGGCACUGAGACACGGGCCCGACUCCUACGGGAGGCAGCAGUAAGGAAUAUUGGUCAAUGGACGCAAGUCUGAACCA